AAUGAACGCUGGCGGCGCGCCUAAUACAUGCAAGUCGAGCGAGAAGACGUAGCAAUACGUUUGUAAAGCGGCUAACGGGUGAGGAAUACAUGGGUAACCUACCCUCGAGUGGGGAAUAACUAGCCGAAAGGUUAGCUAAUACCGCGUACGCUCCUUGGACUUCGGUUCAGGGAGGAAAGCGAUACCGUGGGUAUCGCGCUCUUGGUUGGGCUCAUGUCCUAUCAGCUUGUUGGGAGGUAACGGCUCACCAAGGCUUCGACGGGUAGCUGGUCUGAGAGGACGAUCAGCCACACUGGCACUGCGACACGGGCCAGACUCCUACGGGAGGCAGCAGUAAGGAAUAUUGCGCAAUGGGCGAAAGCCUGACGCAGCGACGCCGCGUGGGGGAUGAAGGUCUUCGGAUUGUAAACCCCUUUCGGGAGGGAAGAUGGAACGAGCAAUCGUUCGGACGGUACCUCCAGAAGCAGCCACGGCUAACUUCGUGCCAGCCGCCGCGGU
rnacentral:rRNA from 1 species